UCUGUUUGUGCAUACUUCCAGUCUGAUGUGCAAAAACCAGACAUCUAAGCUGAAAGUUGCCUUUUCAGAAGGGGAGGAGGGAUCUGGAGAUGAAACCUAAAGGCAAGGCCUCUCUCUCCGGCUGGAUUGCACUUGGCAGGCGUGGACUACAAAGGAGCUCAGGAUGCACUGAUGAACAAACCAGAAAAGACAGCAUAGUCAUACAUGCUGGAUUUUAAUCCGGUUACACCGAAUCAUUUCACGCUAGACCGACUACGAAAACGUACCGGGCCGUCCACCUCAGAGGGAGCCCCGUGAGCCAUUAUAAGCGGUGGAUGAUCGAUCGCGGCUACCGGCUUCCAGUACUGCCUAGAAGCUGAAGAGGAGGUGGAGCGCCGAGGAGACAACGCCACCGGGUCACCGGCGCGUGUGCGCCAGUCUUGGAGUGAAGAGAGACAGAGGGAGAGCGCA